rnacentral:rRNA from 13 species
CUAGACAAGGGUUCCUGCGCCGAAGAUGUACCGGGGCUCAAGCCGCGAGCCGAAGCUUUGGGUUUACACGCGAGUGUAAGCGGUAGCGGAGCGUUCCGUAGGUCCGUGAAGGGACAGCCGUGAGGCAUCCUGGAGAUAUCGGAAGUGCGAAUGCUGACAUGAGUAACGAUAAAGGGAGUGAGAGACUCCCUCGCCGAAAGUCCAAGGGUUCCUGCUCAACGCUAAUCGGAGCAGGGUUAGUCGGCCCCUAAGGCGAGGCCGAAAGGCGUAGUCGAUGGGAAACAGGUUAAUAUUCCUGUACUUGGUGGUAGUGACGGAUGCCGUGUGUUGUAUCUCCUUAUUGGAUUGGGGGUGCAGCGAAGGUGUUCCAGGAAAUAGCUCCACCGUAUAAACCGUACCCGAAACCGACACAGGUGGACUGGUAGAGAAUACCAAGGCGCUUGAGAGAACUAUGCUGAAGGAACUCGGCAAAAUGCUCCCGUAAGUUCGCGAGAAGGGAGACCUGUACUUGGGCAACCAGGUAUAGGUGGCACAGAAAUGGGGGUGGCGACUGUUUAUCAAAAACACAGGG